rnacentral:tmRNA from 1 species
GGGGGUGAAUUGAUUCGACAUUCGAUGAUCCUUUCGGGAAGAAGCGGGUAAGGAAGCGCACGGGAAUCCUUUCAAAAAUCCGGGCAACAAGAGAUGCCAACGCAACUCGCUCUGACCUCGCUCUCGCCGCUUAGCCGGCCGGAGACCCAAUCGGGGUCUGUCUCAAACCGCAUCAGGCAAAUGGUUUCGGCCGCGGUUUAGGCAUCAGCUAAAGGACACCUGAAUGACGGCGGAGCUGCGUGCCGGCAUUCGUAUUAGCAGCUAGACCGGGACGGUCCGUUGUUCGCCAUGAACCGGCCGGGUCGAUAAGCACCAAGGCGGACUACACCCGUAGAAGAGUCCGGAAGCAUUGCGUGGACCCGGGCUCGCUACCCGGCACCUCCACCC